AUGAGAGAAGUUGAAGAAAAAUAUUAUGGGAAAUGGUUGUGUGGGCUUUGUUGUGAAGCUGUUAAAGAAAGAGUAAGGAGAAGUAAUGAAGUUACAAUGCAAGAUGGUUUGAACUCUCAUAGGGAGUUUUGCCAGGAAUAUAAUGCCACAACAAGAAUUAACCCUAAAUUGUCGUUAACACUGUCUAUGAAGGAAAUAGCUAAAAGAAGUUUAGAGAAAAGGAAAUGUAAGGGAAUGAGUGUAACUAAGCUUGAUAGGAGUACUAGUUAUCCCUAA